UACGUAGGUGGCAAGCGUUGUCCGGAUUUAUUGGGUUUAAAGGGUGCGUAGGCGGUCCUAUAAGUAUGGUGUGAAAUCUCCCGGCUUAACUGGGAGGGUGCGCUAUAGACUGUGGGACUAGAGUGUGGGAGAGGAAAGUGGAAUUCCUGGUGUAGCGGUGAAAUGCGUAGAUAUCAGGAGGAACACCGGUGGUGUAAACGGCUUUCUGGACCAUAACUGACGCUGAGGCACGAAAGCGUGGGUAGCAAACAGG
rnacentral:rRNA from 1 species